rnacentral:rRNA from 1 species
GACGAACGCUGGCGGCGUGCUUAACACAUGCAAGUCGAGCGGUAAGGCCCUUUCGGGGGUACGACGAGCGGCGAACGGGUGAGUAACACGUGGGUGACCUGCCCUCAGCUCUGGGAUAAGCCUGGGAAACCGGGUCUAAUACCGGAUAUGACUCCAUGACGCAUGUUGUGGGGUGGAAAGGCCUUGUGCGGCUGAGGAUGGGCCCGCGGGCCCUAUCAGCUUGUUGGUGGGGUGAUGGCCU